GAAAUGUAUCGGUGUCUUCAAGCCAGGCCGACGGUGUGCUAUGCGUACUUGAGUUUGAGGUCUCGGGUGAGCUCGUUCUGAGUCUGUUCUAGCUCCUGCCGCUCGUUGAUGUGUGCCUCCUGGAUGUCGUGGAUUUCUGCCUUCACGGCCUGCAGCUUGGCAAACAGCUGGAGGACAGAGAAGGAGACAGGUUCAUUCACCAUGAUGGGAAACGUUUUUGUUUUUAAUAUUCAGCCUUGUUAAAUACUUCAGCCUUAAAAAUGUAAUAUCCAAACAAAGCCUAUGGGGUAUUCUCGCCUGAUUUGAAAUACCACCUGCCUUAUACACUUGCAAAGUAUUUAUCAGCAGAUACAUAAAGCCUCACAAGUUUUGAGCACCAGGCUUUAAAACUUAAUAGCCCUGCGGUACCAUUACAAUUUUCAACAUAUAUUGAUUGUUGACAGCUGAAAGAAGCAGGAUCAAAGCUUGGAGCUGCUACCUUCUUCAGUUUCUUGGUUUUGAUGUCGACCUCCUGCUGCAGCGAACUGUACGUCUCCUUCAGCUCCAGAGUCUCCUCGUCGCGACUCUCCAUCUGCUGCUGCAUCUCCCGCUCUCGCCGUUUCUGGGAACCAACAAACACACACACGUUCAUCAGUUAGGCUUGGUAGUGUCAGGUAAAUGUUCAGCAUCAAGUGGAAUGCCCUACAGGGAACACAAUGCAAGACGGGGGUCUGAUUAUAAGGACUACAGACACACAAUGGAAGGGCGACAGCGGACCACCACCUUGACCGAUUCCGCGCUCUUGCUCUUGGACAUGUUGCAAAGCGGCUGCCAACCCUACACGGCCUGGCACUUGUAGGAUCUGUCUUCCAAAUGUACCUUCAGGUUCGGUUCACCAAAACAAGGUCCCACAUCACAAUCUGUUAGGGAAAACACAUUCAAUGCUUAAAACAGACCUGCAAGGAACCACUCAUGGUGACUCACAACCUUAACGGUAAACGCAUCACACACAUUUUUACAGUCAUGCUGGAAGAAUCAAUAAAGCUCAAUGUCAAAGCUAUUGAUUGCUAAUUUAGCUAGUUAGCUACCCUGACACAUGUACUGCAGCUCAGUAAUCAUUGGUCUUGACAAUUCCUUGUACCUGGAAACACAAGCGUAAUUAAACCCUAAUCAUAUUUUAUCCAGAUGUUACAUCACACCCGUGAAAUGAUUAUGUUAGAGUUUAUAUGGCCCACAUUUAACACAUUUUCACAAUGUUACUCCAGGUGGGAGAAGUACUAAGAUCUUGUACUUAAGUAAAAGCAGAAGUAGCAGAGCGUAGGAAUACUAUUGUUGAUCAUUAAAGUGUUCUCAGAGCUGGUAAAGGUGCAGCUAGUUUGAAUGGCUUUGUAUACUGCAGGGUAGCUGCUGGAUUUACUCCAGGUGAACUAAAGUCUGAUUUAAGGCUGAUCAUAUUUACCAGCCUUAAUCCAGAUCUGUAAAGUAACUAACGGGAUUAAAUACAUGUAGUGGAGUACAGCACUCACCUCUGAAUUGUAGUGGAAGUACAGUCAACCUACUGAGUUACAUGACACCACUGCUUAAGUGGCAUAUUAAUACACCGGGGAGCCACUACCCCGGUUUAGCUGACUGAUUAAAUGUAGCCCGUUAACCGGUAGGUAUAAACUUCCCUGUUAGCUCGACCUGUUUGGAAUUCCAGGCUAUAAAAUGACAACACUGUGUCCGCUGUAGCAGGUUAAUAACCCGUGGACUUAACAUAGCUGCUCAAACUAUGUUAGCAAUAAUAUUUUUUAACGAAGCGUUCGGCAGAGCUAACCGCCGUUAGCUUAUGCGAAAUGCAGCCCAUAACGAGACCACAAAACCGGCCUAGCAACGACAAACACUGGUAACCGAAGCCACAGGAGUGGUAGCAUUACCUGGCUAUCGCUAGCAGGAAGGGCAUUAAUCCAUAAAUUAAAUCGCCAUUCAACAAUGAAAAAAUCACAUUGGACACAUUACACCUUUGCCAUACAAACACAGCGUUUUAGAGAACACACAAAUAUGUCGAUAAAGACUUACCAGCGUCAGGCUAAUCAGAACUCCCAGUCAGCCGUUAGCCGUUGCUCAUCCCCACAGCGGUCCCGGUUACGCAGUUGCCAGAUUCGAACACAUAUCCUGCUAAAAGGGUACGUGUGGUGAAAUCACAUUAACCCGUAUUUAAAAAAUGCCUCAGAAGUGAGCAUGUGUUUAGUGUUAAGCACAUAGUCACAAAAAACGUUAAACGUCUACUGUGAAUAACAAGACGGCAAGCACAACACUAGCAUUAUGACGAAUACAGAUGCAGGGUUUCCUGGAUUAACUGGCAACCAAGUCUCAGUAUAGCUUAGUAUAUCAGCUGAUUCCACUGUACUCACAGCUAAGCUUGCACUCACGGAUGUAAACAGAGGCGGUUGGUUCUUUAAAAAAAAAUAGCGUUCAUCACUUUAAUGGUGGACAACAUUAUAUAAAACAUUCGACUUAAAAAUCAUUGCAUUCACUGCUUUCACACAGAGGAACACAAUUAGCUUGCCACACAUUCCACAACCACAUUUAAUCAAUUUAACCUGUGCAAAUCUACUCUUUUGUCCCUAAUACAAUUAUUCACAUUCAAUGAAUAGCAAUACUGUUCAGUCAACAUUCAGUACAGGCUUUCAAACUAUUCAUCAGUUUUUCGGUCCUGGUAAAUUGAGAUGUGGAAAAACGGUCUCCUUUUCCCUUCCUAUAAUUAGUAUGUACAGGAGGAUCAGUUACUGCACUCUCCUUGGAAUGGAGGGCAGAGAGGAAAGGAAAGAGCAAGCAGUGAAAGACAUGGAGGGGUGGAAAGACGGGGAAAGAGAAGAGGGAGGGAGAACAUGAUCACUGGCACUGUCAUCUUUUCCAGGGUUCACUGAGGUCACCAGAGGUCCUGCAAUCCUGUCUGGAUUGCAAAGCAUGGUGGCAGCACAGACUAUGGCAGAAGCUAAAGGAAAUGCUAGAGGAGCUGUUUGUUUUCCUGAUCGAAAGGAAAACUAGCUUUGAUGUAGUGAACACAAAUUAUGGAAGGCAAAUCUUGGGAGGGUGCAAAUACUGGAUUUUCAGGCAGGCUUGUCCAUGCCAAAAAAGGAUGAUGGGAGGCCAUGGACGUCCCGCUCUCUCUUCACAAAGGCGGAAAAGGAGGAGACACAGUUGCCGAUGAAGUGCUCGGCCCUGCCUAAGAUGUACAGGUCCAUUUGGGCUGAGUCUGGCUGAAGACUCACCACUUUCAGCUGGAAAAACAAAAUGCAAUACACAAAUAAACGUUUUUAAAUAACAUAUUCUCUAAGGAUCUAAACAGACAUAUUUCUCAAAAGGUGGAGUCCCCCACCACUGUGCUGAUCCAGUAAGUUCAUCCUGGUUUCCCCACAUCUUUCAAACCACUCCAGGGUCCUUAACCUCCUGAUCAAAGUGUAUUGAAUGGCUCUGACCUUAGCAGACACACAACUACAAACACACACAUAUGAAUGCUCUCAGCUUUUCUUUCUUUUUCAUUAUUUGAUUUAUGUACUUAUCUUUUUAUGUCUGUUUUUCUGGGGGGAUUUUUCUUAAUUUCUAAUUGUCUUUAUUGAUUUUUUUUGGUAUUAUUUUCUAUUACGUUGGCUCUGUAGAUACAGCUAAAUGAAAACUGAAAAACUGUUGACCCAAAUGUGAACAUGUCUGUAUAAUGAAACUGAAAUAAAAAAGUUAAAAUAA